rnacentral:rRNA from 1 species
GAUUCCGAAAGUAGCGGCGAGCGAAAUUGGACUAGCCCUUAAGCUUUACACGCGUUAGACGAACGGUCUGGAAAGUCCGACGAUACAGGGUGAUAGUCCCGUAGUUGACGACGUGUGUUCAGUGAAAUCGAGUAGGGCGGGACACGUGAUAUCCUGUCUGAAUAUGGGGGGACCAUCCUCCAAGGCUAAAUACUACUGACUGACCGAUAGUGAACCAGUACCGUGAGGGAAAGGCGAAAAGAACCCCUGUGAGGGGAGUGAAAUACCUUUUGUAUAAUGGGUCAGCGACUUAUAUUCAGUGGCAAGGUUAACCAUCUAGGGGAGCCGUAGGGAAACCGAGUCUUAACUGGGCGUUCAGUCUCUGGAUAUAGACCCGAAACCAGGUGAUCUAGCCAUGGGCAGGUUGAAGGUUGAGUAACAUCAACUGGAGGACCGAACCGACUAAUGUUGAAAAAUUAGCGGAUGACUUGUGGCUAGGGGUGAAAGGCCAAUCAAACCUGGAGAUAGCUGGUUCUCCCCGAAAGCUAUUUAGGUAGCGCCUCGGACGAAUACUACUGGGGGUAGAGCACUGUUAAGGCUAGGGGGUCAUCCCGACUUACCAACCCUUUGCAAACUCCGAAUACCAGUAAGUACUAUCCGGGAGACACACGGCGGGUGCUAACGUCCGUCGUGGAGAGGGAAACAACCCAGACCGCCAGCUAAGGUCCCAAAUUACUACUAAGUGGGAAACGAUGUGGGAAGGCUCAGACAGCCAGGAUGUUGGCUUAGAAGCAGCCAUCAUUUAAAGAAAGCGUAAUAGCUCACUGGUCGAGUCGGCCUGCGCGGAAGAUGUAACGGGGCUAAGUAGUAAACCGAAGCUGCGGCAAUAUACUUUUGUAUAUUGGGUAGGGGAGCGUUCUGUAAGCGGUUGAAGGUGUGUGGUAACGCAUGCUGGAC